CUGGCGGACACCGAAAAGCCUUAAUAGAGUAGGUG
rfam:Reichenbachiella agariperforans strain DSM 26134 genome assembly, contig: Ga0070003_102